UACGUAGGGGGCAAGCGUUGUCCGGAAUCAUUGGGCGUAAAGCGCGCGUAGGCGGCCCGGUAAGUCCGUUGUGAAAGUCAAAGGCUCAACCUUUGAAAGCCGGUGGAUACUGUGGGGCUAGAGUACGGAAGAGGCGAGUGGAAUUCCUGGUGUAGCGGUGGAAUGCGCAGAUAUCAGGAGGAACACCAAUAGCGAAGGCAGCUCGCUGGGACGUUACUGACACUGAGGCGCGAAAGCCAGGGGAGCGAACGGG
rnacentral:rRNA from 1 species